GCCAAUGUGGCACAGUGGUUUGAGGCCUGGACUAUGACUCUGGAGACAAGGGUUCAAUUCCCUGUUUGACC